UUCUUUCUGUUUGCUUAGUGCUUCGAGGGUACUUGUUGGAUAUGUUCUUCCACGUGUUCUUUCAUUGUUAUAGUAUUCAUCAGGGGCUAAUCGAAUACAUUUAAUCUGACGUAAUUCUGCAUCUACAUCCACAGGGGAAGCAUUCUUUACGUUUAAGGCAUUAUUGUGUCUUGAUUCACGUUGCGGCCUGCUUGUUCUUUGAUGUGUACCAGAAUGCUUGUCAUUAACUAAUUGACUACGAUGUGUACCAGAAUGUUCAUCAGUGACUACUUGAAGACGAUCAGUCUGAGGUUUAGGUACUACAUUGACAGAGGAAGCAGCCUGUGUCUGGUAAAGCAUUACACCUUCCUUUCUUCUGGAGUGGCUCGAAUCAACUGGUGGCUCACUAAGCAUUUGUAAACUUAUUUCCUGAAAAAAAAAAAAAAAAAAAAAGUCUAAAAACAUGAAUGUGUUUCCAAAGCCUCCAGCACCAAAAAGUUGAGCAAAGUUUUAGCGUUUGCCAGUGAAAACUACCAACACACCGAAACAAUAUAUAUUUUAAGCUUCUUUUAUAUGGGAAACGUGUUUUUUUUCUUUUUUUUUUUUUGGGUUACCUGUGCAAGUAGUACUUCUGGGUCUGUGUCACUGCUUAAUGCUUCAUCCUCAAAAUACACCCUCAUAAUUGGCUGUGGCGGAGUGGAGUCGUUGAAGAUGUUAGCAUGAGUUGUUUCAUCCUGAUUCCCGUCAACAAUAACUGAACAUAAGAACUCUUCGAACGUAUCAUCCGGUCCAUCAGCUCCAAAUGCAGAUUGUAACCCAUGGUAAUCAUUAUUACCAGGGGCACUUGCAAGCAUACGAACCUUUUCCCUCUCAAAAUAGUCCAUGCUUUGUUGUUGCUGAGUACGCUCCUACAAUGUGAACCAUAAUUUAGCAAGGUUUUAAAUCAGUUUCUUUUGCACCGUUUAUAUAUACGAAGACGUUAAUCAGCAUUCGUGUUCAACAUUCUCACCUCUUCAAUAUCCAUACCAGGUGCUAGUAGCAGUUGAUUUUCGAAAUCAGAUUCAUUGUUGCAAGUACCAGAUUCACCUUCAUCACAGUUUGCAGCAUAAACAUUCUCACCUGAUUUCUUCUUUAUGCAACAGAGAACGAAAUCCCUCUGCACAAUUAAGUUGCAAAACAAAUCAUGUAAUGCAGUGGCAGCAACACAAAAUUAAACAAGGGUUCAAAACCAAAAGGCCACUUAGUACUACGGUCUAGUGGUAUUCCUCUUCACUUGUAAGUGAGAGGUUUUAGGUUCAAUUACUCGCCAAAUGCGAAUUUGAACCACGUUAUUGCUAGCCUAUUAUGAGGCUUAGCCCCCUCCAUUAUCCCCUAGUGUAGAUAAUAUCGUUCGUUCAAGAAAAAAAAACACAAAUCAUUAACCUUUGCACAUUUAUGUUAAAACCAAUUUGGCUCAAAGGGGUUUCGAUUUUGAUCCAUUCAAUCAUUUCAAAACCAAAAACCCUUCGAACCAAACCAAAUAGGCUUCGGUUUCACAACGAAAACUCCUGAAGCCUCCAGUUUAGAACUUACCUCAUAAAAAUUGUUAAACAGUGCUGCAAAUUAUACAUCAUAUCGAUAACAUUAUUCAGAAACAAUAACCCCAAAAAAGAACAAGAAUGGUGACCUGAUUAGCAUUAGGAUUGGUUUGGGGGAUGUAAUACUCAUGCAUAACCCAGUCGGUCUUUUUGGAAUUACGAACACGACCUCGUUGAAAAGUUAGAAUCCUUUUUUUACCGAUGAUAGUUCUUUUGUCUUGAGUCUUGACCAGUUUUUGGGGACCAGUGCUCUUCCAGAAGCCUUCCUUCGUCGCCCUUUCGGUCUGGUUUUUGCUGUUUUUUUUGUAAGUGCUGAAGAAGUACCAUUCUUGAUCAUCCGACUUUAAGAGUGAAAGCCCUGCAUAAAACACAACAUUUGGUUCAAACCCAAUUGCAUAUAAAGAUUAUCAGACUCAUUCAAGAAAAGGAGUAGCGUUUUUCGCACGGCAUUUUCAGCUGUUUACACUUCAAACAUAAACAUUUUAUAAUUUUUCCAACUCACAGAAGAGUGCAGAGUGCUAAACUCACUGGCCUUCGUAAAAUUGUCACCCGAAAAAGAUAACUUUUAAUUUAGAACUGGGAUUGGUAAUAAGUUACAUUAGGAUUAAACCCAAUCUCUUAAACAGUAAACAGAGACUCAAACUCAGUGAACUGCAAAUUGAAAAGUUUUAGUAAAAUUCUCAUAAAAAACAAAUAAAAAGAUCGAAAUUUUUAAGAACUGGGUUUGAUAAUAAAGUUACAUUUGGACUAAACCCAAUUGCAUAAACAGAGUAUCAGACUCAUUGAACUGCAAAUUCAAAGUUUUGACUAAAAUUUUCAGAAAAUUUUAAAAAACAAAAUUUAAGAACUGCGUUUGGUAAUUAAUUUACCUUUGGAUUAAACCCAAAAACCCAAUGGAGAAUACAGAUUGUCAGACUCAUUGAACUAAGAAAACUAAUGAAAAUUUAACACCUGGGUUUGGAAAACAAUUACCAGGCAAGUCCCUUGGCUCGUGGUUGCAGAUAUUGAUUUCACGGAUGACCUCGCUGACAAGGUAAUCCUCACCCUCGAGCUUCAUCUGCAAGUAAUAGUCGAUCAGCUCUUCUUCUGUGGGGCGGAACCGGAAUCCCACUGGCACCGACAGGUCACCUGCUCUGGUGAAGCGGUUUCUAUUGGCAGCCAUCUAUCUUUCAUGAAGGAGAAUCGGAAUUUGGGUGGGUUUGUAUAGGAUUAGAAACACUGGAGAAACAGUAAGGACAUUGACUUGGGGUUUGAUCUAAGUCUUCGGCUUUCAGCGGGUGCUUUUUAGCUUAAUGGAAGAACAUAUUAAACUUCUGCUUCUGCUUUUUCAUGGGAUGUGGAAUUUUUGUUGUCGUGGCGUUUGGUGGGAAGCUAAGGAGUCCUACGUGUGGGACCGCUUGCUGUAUGGCUGGGUCUGUUUCCUGGGAACUCACUGAGAAGCGAGGGAUCAUGUCAGCAUCUCCAAACGAGUUGAGCAAAUUUUCUUUUCAAGAAUAAUACUUAGGAAUGGGUUCGAUACGAUUAUGGUACUAAAAUUUUCAUACCAAUUAUUAAUACUGCAUUGAGUAUUUAUUUUUACUAUUAUUUAUAUCAUCUUUUUAGUAAAGUUGGGUUCCGUUAACGAUGUAGAUUUCAACUCAAUUAAAAAUAUGAUACAAAUAGAUAAUAAAAGUUGUAUUUUUAUUUUUGGAAAAUGUCUUAACUUUAUCAUAAUUGUGGGUUUAAAUUUUAUUUUCAAACUCUUUACUGAACAAAUAGUUUUGGAUAGAAAUAUAUUGCGAGACUUAAUUUAUAACUUGAAAAAGUAGCAAUUACCCUAUAAGUAUACAGUGUAAGUUGCUAAUUCUUUAAUUUGCUAAUUUAGUCACAACCUCCGUUGGAGAUGUGUAAGAUGGAAAAGAGACUAAAUAAGGUAGAUCGAAAGUCUGAUUGAAAAGGUCGGUAGCAUUCCGAUAUAGUUAUUUGGAAACAACAACCCCAAAAAAAGAGAACAAGAAUGGUGACCUGAUUAUCAUUAGGAUUGGUUUGGGGAUGUAAUACUCAUGCAUAACCCAGUCGGUCUUUUGGGGAUUCCGAACACGACCUUGCUUAAAAGUUAGAAUCCUUUUUUCAGCGAUGACAGUUCUUUUGUCUUCAGUCUUGACCUGUUUUCGCUCACCAGUGACCUUCCAGAAGCCUUCCUUCGUCGCCCUUACGAUCUGGUUUUUGCUGUUUUUUUUGUAAGUGCUGAACAAGUACCAUUCUUGAUCAUCCGACUUUACGAGUGAAAGCCCUGCAUAAAACACAACAUUUGGUUCAAACCCAAUUGCAUAUAAAGAUUAUCAGACUCAUUCAAGGAAAGGGGUAGCGUUUUUCGCACUGCAUUUUCAGCUGUUUACACCUCAAAAAUGAACAUUUUAUAAUUUUUCCAACUCACAGAAGAGUGCAGAAAUCACUGGCCUUCGUACAAUUGUCACCCAAAAAAGAAAACUUUUAAUUAAGAACUGGGAUUGGUAAUAAGUUGCAUUAGGAUUAAACCCAAUUUCCUAAACAGUAAACAGAGAUUCAAACUCAUUGAACUGCAAAUUGAAAAGUUUCAGUAAAAUUCUCAUAAAAAAAUAAAUAAAAAGAUUGAAUUUUUUAAGAACUGGGUUUGAUAAUAAAGUUACAUUUGGACUAAACGCAAUUGCAUAAACGGAGUGUCAGACUCAUUGAACUGCAAAUUCAAAGAUUUUACAAAAAAUUUCAGCAAAAUUAAAAUAUAAAAAAUUAAGAACUGGGUUUGGUAAUUAAUUUACAUUUGGAUUAAACACAAACACCCAAUGGCAAAUUCAGAUUAUCAGACACAGUGAACUAAGAAAAAUAAUGAAAAUAUAAGACCUGGGUUUUGAAAAUAAUUACCAGGCAAGUCCCUUGGCUCGUGGUCGCAGAUAUUGAUUUCACAGAUGACGUGGCUGAAAACGUAAUCCAUUCCCUCGAGCUUCAUCUGCAAGUAAUAGCGGAUCAGCUCUUCUUCUGCGGGGCGGAAUCGGAAUCCCACUGGCAACAACACGUCACCAACUCUGGUGAAGUGGAUUCCAUUGGCAGCCAUCUAUCGUUGAUGAAGAAGAAUCGGAAUCUGGGUGGGUGGGUUUGUAUAGGAUUAGAAACACAGGAGAAAGAGUACUGAAACUGACUUGGGUUUGAUCAAAGUGUUCGGUUUUCGGUUGUUGCUUUUCUGCUUAAUGGAAGAAGAUGUUAAACUCUGCUUUUAAGGAGGAACGGGACUUGGCUGCUGAAAAAGCAGCACCAGCCCCUGCAGACAUGCCACGCGUUUUUUUUUCUCUUUAAUUAUUAUAUUUUGUGCUUUUGAUCAAACCCCUCUUGGAAGUUCGUUUUCCUUUUCUGAGAAGUUUUUUUUUUUUUUUUUUUUUAACUUUUCUGGGAAGUUUAGCUUUUAGAAUAUUUUACAUUUUGGAAUCUGCCCCAAGUCAUAAAAUCUGUCAAAAGUUCCGGGUCCUUUUCCUACAUUAAAUUAUGGAAUAGAAUUUUCUUUCCUUCUAUUUUCAUCCCCUUCCAUCUAGGGGUGGGCAUAAAAACCAUCAAACCGCAAAACCGAAUCGAACCGUAUGAAAAAAAACCGUGUUGACCGGAAAAGUCAACUUUGAGUCAAAAACCGAACCGGACCGUUUCAAACCGGUUUGGUUCCGGUUUCAAAUGAACUGGAACCAGCCGGAACCGAACCGAACCGUUUUAUUAAUAAUAAAUUAACUAAUUAUAUAUAUGCACACAUGUCAUGAUAUAAUAGGUUAGUUUGAAAAAUUAGUUUCACCAAAUUGCAAAGCAGUGAAUCCCACCCUCAUCCUCACUCACGGCCUCAUCAGUCAUCGCCCAUUUCACACUUUUAGACUUCCAUUCCUGUAGGCUUCUUCACUCUGCCGAGUCGCCGCCCACCUCACUCGCGGCUCUCUGCGACGACCCUUGUCAUCCCUCCUCCACGACAGCUUCGUCCUCCGUCCUCCAUCCUUGGUAUUUUCUCUCUCUUUUCUCAUAUUCUCUCUCUACACCCCUUCGUCAAGUCUCUAAAGCAUUCACUUCUUUGCAUGCUGCGGAGGACAUCUUGCUUCACUCACCUUCCCCACUUCAGUCCCCACCGCAUCGCAUCCGAAUUAUCAGGUUCGAUCAUUUCUUGAAACUUUGUUUUCGGAUUGGUGAAUGGUGAUUGAUUGCGUUGUCGAUUCAGGUGCUCCCAUGGCUUCCACGCAGAGUGAUAUCUUAGCUUCUCGCGAAAGGAUCUUCAAGAACGGUAUAGCUCAUUGAGCUUUUGUUUUUCAAGGUUUGGGUUUUUUUUUUUGCCUCUUUUUUAUGAAGCUUUCAUGACCCCGUGUAAUAUUGGCAUAUGCUUCCUCAGAACUAUAAUUACUUUGAUUUUGAAAAGAAUUUAUUUUAUUUCCUUGGUUUGGGUUGUAAGAAGUGCUAACAUCUGGGGAGUGGGAGGGCAGGAACACGAUUUUCUUAAGAAAUCUAGUUUGGGACUUGGAGUAGACAUGGAACUGGAAAAUAAAAAGGUGGUAGGAGUUGUGUAUCAGCAUUUCUGGUCAAUCAACUAGAAGAAAGCCUUUAGGUUGCACUUUCAAUUGGAUGUGUGCAGAUGUUUGAUUAUGAUUUUUAUUGUUUUUUUCUGUGCUUAUCGAACGAACACUUGGGUUUCAUAGGAUUUAUGUUUACGGUUUUGGACCUUGGUUUUUGUUUUUCUCUUGUGGUUGAUAUCUUGUAUUUUAUUUUUCACGAGUUCUAUUUGGUAAUAAGUUCUUGUUUCCUACUAAAAGAACAAAAGAUUAUGUAUUUCUCAUCUCCACAUUGGAGAUGGGCACCUCUCUCGACAUUGUUCUUUCAUAAGACAGUCUUGGUUUUGAGGAUGUUUGGUAUUUUCAGGCUUGCCCUUGAGAUUAUUAUCUUUUGUUGGAAUAUAAUGCUUUGUUCUUGGGGAGGUAACAAGAAAGUUGUGGCUCUUUGGAGGUGUAUGAUAUUGGCUCUUACAUGGAGUCAUGGACUGUAUGGUUGAAUUGAAAUAAGUAAUGUUAUUUUUUUCUAUUAUAAUGCAAAUUGAGGAAGCUGAGAACUAAGAGUACCCCCACAACAGAAAUAAUAUAAAAUGAAAAGUAGUAUAACGUAAUUGUCUAAUUGGGGUCAUUUUGAUUGAAUGGAUGUCCUCCAUGUACAGUGGCAUUGAGGCAUAUACAUUACUUAGCCCAUUCGCAAAUAGACGAUUGAGACCUAAUCUAUCGUUCUCAUUUCAUCUUGGGAGGGCGUAUCAUGUAUAUCAUGCUUAAACCUUCUGUCCUUUUAAAUAAAGAUUUUGUGUCCACUUUCAAUUUGAAGCGUACAGAUGUUUGAUUAAUUAUCUUCUAUUGUUUCCCAUUUGAAGCUUUUCGUGAAAUUUUGGAGCGGAGGGCAUCUGCACACUCUUGUCUUCUACUGUUUGAUUAAUUAUCUUCUACAGUUCCAGGUUAGUUGAACUUAAUUGUACUUGAUUAAUUAUCUUGUCUCAUAUUUAGCAUAUUUAGUAGUCUGGAGAUGUAUUUGAAUGCAUGAUGAUUUGGUAUUCAAAUAAUUUAAUAUUUGGAACCAUAAAUCGGCAAGAACCGAAUCGGAACCGGUGUAGACCGAACCGUAAGGUUCUAGUAAUAAAUUUAAGCGGAACCGCAUCGAACCGAACCGUUGAUAUUUUCUGGUUCCGGUUCCGGUUUCGGUUUAGGGGUAAAACCGCACUGAACCGCACCGUGCCCACCCCUACUUCCACUCUUCUUUCAUAUUCUCUUAUUUUAUAUAUUUUUUGCUGUAAAAAUUAAUAUAAGAUGUUGACGUGGCAUAACUGUGACCGUUCAAUUAGGAGGGGAGUAAAGGGAAGGGAAGGGAAAAAAAGAUGGGAAAGAAUCCUACUCCUUGAAUUACAAAUCCAAGAGUAAUGGUAUAGGUAAAUUCUCUUAAAAGUGGGCUUUGAACUUUUUAUCAUCUCAUAUUUUGCAUCAUGUUCUGUUGAUGCACAAAACUGGAGGUCUUGGAACAACGUAAAUCCAACCGUGAAUCUGCAAGAAAUGUAAAUAACACAAGAUGUAUUGUGGUUCACCCUAAGGUUUGGGUUACGUCCACACUGAUUGUAUUUCUCUGACUGUAUGUAUGGAUUACAAGGGUGAGGGGGAGUCCCCCGGAGAAAGAGAGUGUUGUUGUGUUUGUGAGAGUAUUGCCCUCUGUUGGGUUUUCUCUGUCCCAUUUGUGAGGGGAGAGGAGUCCCCUUUUAUAGAAUAAGGGGCUCCUCCUUUUACAUAAUCAUAUGGGCUGGAUAAUGAGGCCCAAUGUAUCAAAGUAUGAGGCCCAAUAUGUGUGGUACCAACAGUAGUCCCCCAAGUCUUCAGUCAAGAGAGUCUUUUGGCUGGAGACUUCAAAUCCAAUCCAUGUACGGGCCGAAGUGGCUAGAUGUCUUGAAUUAGUACUCAACCCAAGGCAAUACUCAACAUAAAACAAUACUCGGCUAGAGGUAUCACACGUUACGAGACUGCUUGGUUGGAGGCGAUGCUCGUUGCGAGGCUGCUCGGCUAGAGGUUAUGCUCGCGGCGAGGCGUUUGCUCGACUGGAGUCGAUGCUCGUUGCAAGGCGGCUUGGCUAGAGGCUAUACUCACUACGAGACGGCUCGGCUCGUGGUAUUCCUCAUUGCAAGUAUCUACUUUAUGUCAACAUGCACUCAGUAUGAGUUGAUUCUCGACAUGACUCGGGUCCGCUUGUCGGGUUUGCAUAUUGGGUCUAUGUGUCGGAUUCGCAGAUCGGGUCCGCAAGUCGGGUCUUUGAGUCGGGGCCAUACAUAGGGUCAUCGAGUUGGGGCUAUCUGUAGGGUCAUCGAGUUGGGUCCAGGCACAUAGGUGUCCCAAUAAGCGAAUGUCCGAGCAAGUGGGCGUCCGGUCCGACAAGAGAUCAUCGUUGGACUAAAUCUUUGUCACCAUAAGCAUGUGGCUCAGUGAUCUAUAGGCUGAUCAAUAGUAUCGGUAUGCUUCUUUAAUUAGCAACAAUGUUGAUCAACAAAGUCUGUGCCAUGAACCUCCAAAAUUAUGUCACCUUAACAUUCAAAUAAUAAAAGGUGUAAUUUGGUCAGACUUGUCACAUGUUAUGGAAAAUAGUCAUGUGAUAAAUCAUUAAUAAUAAUGUAAAACAUAUUAUUAUAACAUGUCACCCCGUUCGUUUAGGUAGUAAUGCAAUUUGUAUAACAGUAAAAUACUGAUAGUAGUAAUGAUGUGUAUGCGUCGUGACCCGACAUAAUUAGUACACAGCAGUACUGGAAAAGCAGAUAUUGUGAGGUGCCGCACUAUAUGCACACAGAUCAUGAAAGCAAAUAAUAUAUUGCUAACUAUGCAUUAAAAUAUAAGUGUGAUAGAAAUGAUGUGGUCUCCUCAAAGAAUAUGCAUACUGUAAAGCGUCCAUCAACACAAAAUAAUAAUAAACUAUUAAAUAAUAAAUUAGUUCACGAAUAAUUAAAUAAUAAACUAUUUAAUAAUAAUGUGGUCUCGUUUGCUAUUGCACAAGCAGUGGAACGUGAUGACAGCCAUGAAAGAAAUAAUGUGGUCUCUAAUAUGCAUACUGUAAAGCAAAAUAUCUUAUCAAAAUAAUGAUAAAGUAAUAAAAUAAUAAAGAAAAAGAUCUUAUCUUGCUAAAGAGAUGGGAUCUCUGUAUUGGGAACCCAAAAGCUUCUUUUCCCUUCCUCUCAAGUAGCUGGCCAACCUUUGUCAGUCCUGCAAUUUCCGAGUCAAGCAUCCAGGCCGGCGACGCUGAGUCCGGUCAGACCGAGAGAGUGGAACGUGUCCAGCUGAGAGUUACGGCGUGACGGAGCUGUAACGGCAUUGGGACGGAGCAGCGAGUUGGAAAAUGACCAGUCGAAGUUGUGGUCCAUGAGGCAGUAGGAAAAUGACAUGCUACUUGAAUUGGGAUGGAAACGAGAGUGAGCCGCCGUCGAGUCCGAGAAGCCCAGCUGCUCCGACGAACAGGCCCUCGUUGGUGUGGCCACAGCCGAUGGCAAUCCUCUUCGUCGAAGUCCCGCCUAUGCUGAUUGUCUCCGUCACAAAGUCGCCGUCGAUCUUGAAGAGGUACUCCUCCCCUAAACCCUCAUCGUCUGAAGACGACAUCUCGCUCGCCUUUUCUCCCUGGUUCUUGCUUGCUUCUUCUUCUUUCUUAGGUCAAGGAGGCUGACAGUGAGCGAGCGUCGGUGACUGGCGCGGCAGCUCGAGACAUGGGAAUUCCGGCAUCGAAGUCCAUGGCUCCGUCGCCGGUGAGAGAGAGACAGUAAGUUAAGUCGUCGUCAGCAGCGUCACUUUAGCAAACCCCACCGGAAUUCCCAUUCAUUCACUCACCCUCGCCCCCUCAACUACCCGGCACUUUACCCGAAUCUCCCUCUCAACGAUCAGACACACACGCACACACACUAUAUCUCUCCUCUCUCUCCUCUCUCUCUAUCUAAACCAGACCAAACAAAGAAAACAGAUAGCCAAAUUAACAAGAAUAACAGCUUUCUAGAGAGAGAAACUUUUACAUGGAGAGAGAGAAAGUAGUUUUAAGAGAGAGAUGAUGAGAGGGACAGAGAGAGAGAAAGCGGUGUGUUCUUCAAUCCCUCGGUAGGUGUUUGGUUUCUUCUGUUUUGCAGAUUCACGGCGGAUAUGAAAAAAUGAAAGAGAAUCGACACAAUUUUUUGUAUCAUUUUUCAUAAAUGACACCAAAUGUUGAUGCACAAAACCGGAGGUCUUGGAAUAACGUAAAUCCGACCGUGAAUCUGCAAGAAAUGUAAAUAACACAAGAUGUAUCGUGGUUCACUCCAAGAUUUGGACUACGUCCACACUGAUUGUAUUUCUAACUGUAUAUAUGGAUUACAAGGGUAAGGGGGAGUCAGGGAGAGAAAGAGAGUGUUGUUGUGUUUGUGAGGGUAUUACCCUCUGUUGGGUUUUCUUUGUCCCAUUUGUGAGGGGAGAGGAGUCCCCUUUUAUAGAAUAAGGGGCUCCUCCUUUUAUAUAAUCAUAUGUGCUGGGUAAUGAGGCCCAAUGUAUCAAAGUAUGAGGUCCAAUAUGUGUGGUACCAACAUGUUCUAUAAAUUUGGCACGAGAAUUACUAUAAAAUUGUAAAGUGGUUGGAAGUAUGUGAAAAGUUCUACUUUGAGAGAGUUUCUUUAGCAUUUCUCACAAAUCCAAAAUCAAAUAAUAAUGAUAAAAAUGCUAAGGAAAUUUUCUUAAAGUGAGAUUUUUCAUGGUCCCUUUGUCACUUUAGAGUUUAACAUUAAUUUUUGUUUCAAUAUUAUAAAACGCUGUAAAAAAAAAAAAUAUGAGAUGAUAAAGAGUUUAUAGAGAAAUCUACUUUUGAGAAUCUCCUUAUCAUUUAUUAAUAAUAGAAGUGAUUUGUUGGAGUAAGUAUGUUUUUAUUUAAAUAUUUUAAUUGCUAUGUAUUUGUCCGUUGUGGUUUUAUAUUUUAGUUUAUUACAACCAUUAAAUGUAUAUAACCUAAAUUGAUUUUUAACCUUAUCUUUUGAUAAGGAGUAAUCUCCUUCACUAACCUAUGAAACGUGAGAAAGCUUCUCACAUUAAAUAAUUAGAUGGAAUUCCUUCUUUGAAUAGAGAAGAUGAUCAGGUCCCCAUUCAUUAUUUUGUUCCGUUUUGAAUAUUUACUUUUUGAUUUCGUCUGUUUUGGUUCUUUAAGGUUUUCAGGUCCCUGAUUCUGUCAAACUUGCAACAUAUACUUUAUCUUUUUGUAUAUAUAUAGGUUCCUUGUACUGAAGGAAUAUAUAGAGAAACAACAGCUUAUAUAUUUUUCUUAAAAAUUGAGUUCUAAAGCAACAUAUAGAAAGGGUGUGAGUUUAAAGUACUAAGAAAUAUCAAGUUCAAGUUGGUCAUCCAUUAUUUCAAUUCUUCAAAACUGCAUUGAUGUGUACACUCCUAUAGUCCUUGAAGCUUCACUAAUACUAAUAGUUCACCGGACUAAGCCUUUUACAUUUCUCGAUAACGUAAAAACGAGCCAAAAAACUCAACCAUCAGAAAAUGACGAUAUUACCUUUUAAAAUGUAUCGCAUGUAAGUAACAUGACUUAAAUGAACAUAAAAUUAAAUAAAAUAGAUUCGAAUCUUUAUAAUAGGGAUGAAGUUAGUAGGUUUUUUAAUGAGUUUAAAGAUUUAUUUUAUCGCAAAAAUAGUUUAGAGACUUAAUUUCACUCAGAUAAUAAUCAGUGACCAAAUCGGCAGUUUACUGUGUAUUUAAAGCUAAAAAUGAGACAAAUUUUAGGAGCAACACAUGUGAAAGUAUAAAACUACAAACUUUGGCUUUGAAACAAUCCUCUUCCAUUUCCUCACCUUUCCGGAUUCUAUUGCAAUUGGCAUUGCCAGGGUUGGUUGGUUUUCAUCUCAGAUGUCAUUUACUCUCUACUAGGACAUCUCAAUGUGAGAUCAAAUGAGAUUAAACACAUGAGAUUCGAGGCACAUAAUGUGAUCUAGAGUGCCCUUAUACAUCAUUCAGUACCCAAUAUAUACUGACCUAUUACAAUAGCUCAAUAAUAUUACAACAUCUGUUCAUUUAAAUUCAUAACCAAACACUAAUUCCACUUUGUACUCAUAACCAAACACCCCUUUUUUUAGUUUUCUCUUAUCCGUGCCGUUGCAAAUAUGAUCAACCUCAUCUUCUUCCAUGUCAAUCAAUACAAAACCUUCCAUGAAACCAUUUCAUGAUUCGUUGUCACCUUCCUCCCCCACUGACAUGGCUGCCAUGAGAAAUAAGGGGACGGAUUGGGGGUGGAGUCGAUGGUAGAGACGAGUGGGAAUGACGAAGAUGACGAGGUUGGGUCGAUGGGGAACAAAGGCAAAAGCUGAAGGAGGCGAGGGAUAGACCAGAUCUCCCAUGAAGGAAGGAGAAAUUUUUCAAGGAGCCGGGAACUCCACAUAAGAUUGAUAGCUGGUGUACCCGAGCAAUAAGAGAUGGACACAUGACUAUUAACAUUUUUUCUUUAAAUACAUAUGAACACGCAAUCCAAACCAAGAAAACUUCCGACAAACGUUAAGCAAUGACCACCUCUUUCCUUUCCACCGUCGAUGGCAUCAUUGGACCCACCCCAAAUCCCGACGACAUCAUCGGAAUAAAAAGCCUCACCGGCUUCUUCCUCUCUGAAUCAGAGAAACUCUGUCAAGCUACCGCUGACGAAGAAUACCAAUCAGUUGAGAAAUUAAAGGAAAAUAAAUUGCAUUUUCUUAAAAAGUCAUUGCAAUCUGCCGCCAUGUAUUCCUCUUAAAGCCCAAAACAUUCAUACUAUGCAUAAAUGCAUGAAUGUUUGAAAUUGUGAAAAACCCAGCUCAAAAAACAAAAAAAAACAAAUCGAGCAAAAAGCUAAAGGGAAUUGAGAAGAUCUGUGCAGAGGCCAUGACGGCCGUUAUCUUCUCAGUUAUCGAGCCCACCGUUUUGGAAGUCACAGAUUGUUUUAAUUGAAAAAGAAAGCAGGCCACAUGCCUGCCUGUAGUUGGCUUGGUACUCCAGGUCAGGUUGGGUACCCGGUAUCCUGAAAAAUUUCUCCAAGGAAGAAGAUAGACAUUUGGUUAUUCACAUAACAAGAGACAAAUGUCACAAAAUUAUUGAUCCACGCAAUAAAUGAGUAUUUUGAGUACUGAUUGUUAAGUUCUCAAUACCCGAGUGUUAUGCAUAAAGAUAUAAACCACAAUAUUAUUCGGUAAAUGUGCCUAGGAAGGUCGCUUUAAUCUUUCUUUAAGCAUCAAAUUUAAAUGGUAAUCCAGCUCUCCUUCAAACCGUUUUUCACCAAGCAAAAUUUUUGAGGUGGGUUGUGCAGCUGUGGACCAAGACAUAUAGGUGGUAAAUGGCCCAUUUUGUGUAAUUGUAUGUACUUUUAGAAUAUCAACAGACCUUGAACAACAGCGGGGUGGUGGCGCAGUUGGCUAGCGCGUAGGUCUCAUAGCUUCUGAGUUAUCCUGAGGUCGAGAGUUCGAGCCUCUCUCACCCCAUUUCUUUUUUUUCUUUUUGCGAUUAUACAAAACAUUCUAAGUUUUAAUGAAAAACUAACCAAAAACCCCAAAAAACUUUUUUUUUAAUCAUCAGAGCAAAAGUUUUUAAAAAUGCCAAUCAUACCCUUUAAACAUCCGUACAAGAUUGGAGUAUUCUACAAAGUUCAUGUGGUUUCACCAAAGAAUACAUCCAAAGUAUUCUGCAAAGUUCAUAUGGUUUCACCAAAACAUACAUCCAAAAGAAGAAAAAGGAAAUUGACAUUUUUAGAAAACAUUGACACGGAAAAGAAAAUGUGGCAAACAUUGUAGCAACCAAGACAACAUAGAUUCACAUGACAUUCAAGCAAAGACAAGAAAGCCAGGUUUCAAAAACAGUGCUGGCAGGUUUCAAAAACAGUGUAUUGUCACUAUCCAAAAAGUUGUAAAUAUUUAGAACGUUAUUCUAUUUUAGGAUUUGUAUAUAAGGGAGCUUUUCCUCCCUGGCAGAACAUAUCUCUCGACAUCUCAACACCUGAACACCCUACUCACACCAUCUUCACCCGGUAGCCUUUUAUAGCAUUCUUGUAAACACUUCCUUGUAAACACUUCCUUGUAAACACUUUCUUGUAAACAAUUAUCUUUGUAAACAUUUUAUAUAUCAAUAAAAGUUCAAGUGUACAUAUUCAAGCAAUCUCCAAGUCUUAAGUAAGUUUUCUUUUCUUUCUUUAGUGUGUUUGUUUAAUUAGACUUAUAGUUCAAAACAUGAAAACACUAUUGAAGUUAUAUUAUUAACAUGCUAAACUGACGAUCAUACUUUGUUCGAGCAUUCUGUUAUAGUUGAAUGUUUGUCAUACAAAUAACUGGACAUUAACCAAGGUACCUCUAAGUUCUUCGUACCUCUUAAUUCAGCCAUUAAGGCCUUAUACUUGUACUGUAAAUGGUCGUCAUGCUGAAACAUGUCGAGUUCCAUGUGCAAGGUUUUAUGUCUAGUUGUUAUCAUGGUCAUCCGACUAUUUAACCGGGAAUUGCUGUGCGAAUGUGGUAUCAGAGUCAAGUUUAGCAUUUUAAUAAGUAUAAUUAUAAUAGGAAAGUACCUUAAGGACGGAAGUCAUUAACACAACCGAUAUCACACUUGUUUAUUUUGUAUGAAUAACAUAUAUUAUUGUCCUUGUAGACCUAGUCAACCACAACCAAGAGGUACUUAUUGUCCCAGACAUCUAACUAUAACUAGCAUAAAGAGAAGAUUAGCAUAUAUAUCCAAAAGAAUUAGCAGGACUUUGAAGAAGCAUAAGUUUUAUCUUGGUUAUCUUGAACAUUCUUCAUUUAUUAGUAAAUAUAAUAAUACAGAAGUGCAUCAUAAAGUUUUACAAGCAAAAAGAGCAACAAAUCAAGUUUUAGAGACUUUGAAGAAGAAAGAGAGUUUCUAAGAAACCAGUUAGCAAUAACUUUAGAGAAAGGUAGACUGUAGUUUAUGAUAUAUUACCUUAAUUUAGAAAUUAGUGAACCUCAAAAAAGAAAAAUAACAUUAGACCAAAAUAGUUUAGUUUGUUAUUUUCCAUUGAGACAGCAUAAUCAUAUUUUGCAUAGUGAAUAAAAUCCACAAGUCAAUAGUAUUGUAGAUCUUAUUAUUAGUUAAGCAGAAAAUAUAAAAUUAGAAAAUAAUAAGCAUAAUCAUUUGUUGAACCAGUUAUUAGAGCAUUUUCAGAAAAAUUUCAUAAAAACAAUUAGACAAAAUUUAGAUUAUAUUACAUCCCAGUUAGAAGAUAAUAAUAGAAAUAUUCAAAGGUUUCCUACAAAAAAAAAAAGAGAUAAAAGAGCUUGUUGACCUCAUAGAUAAUAAGCCGAAGCAAGUAGAACUUAGAUCAUUAGAAGUAGUUGAGUAGUUAAAAUUAGAAGUUCAAAAAAUUCAAUUAGUGCAAAAAGAUUUGAGUGAACAAGUAGAUAAGUUGCAUAAUAAAAUAGAUAAAUUAUUAUUUUAAUGAUCGAUUCUAGAACUAGCAGAAGAUAUAUCCAAGAUUAGAAAGAAAUUAGUAAGUUGGAUAAAGAACUAGUAGGUUUAACAAACUUUUCAACACAAGUAACUAGUAGUAAUAUUCCCAUUAGGCAAAAUAAUUUAAUUAUUCAAUUAGUUUUAAGUUUGGCUGAGAAAUUAGAUCAAAUUGAACAACAAAUAGCAUAAAUAAACUAAGUUUUACAUAACGCAUCUUCAUCACUUGUGAAAUUUCGUUUGCGGAUUUCACUGUUAUAAUCUACGUAUUUGUACUAUUGAGAUUUUAUAUUAUUUCUCGAGAAUUUAUUUUAAAUCGUUUGGAUUUAGAUUUCAAUUAAACUAGUUACGAAGAGUGAAGUUUGGAAAAUAAUUAUUUAAAAUUCAUUGACCUUUUGAGGUCACAAGUAACAUUUUCUCGAAGCCACGAGCGCAUAGGCAAAAGUCGUUUGCCAGUCCGAGUUAUAACGAUAUAGUUACGGACGUUUGAAGUUGUGAAACUAUAAAUUGUGGGAAUUAUUUUAAUUUCCACUUGUGGCUAAAAGGCCCAAACAUUUAUUGGGAUUAAAGGGACCGGAUAUUAUAAGUGGAAUUGGGCAAAAAAAUUAGAAAGAGGAGAGGAAGAGAAAAAAAAAAAGAAGGGGGAAGACUCUAGAGCACUCUAUCCUCCCUCUAUAUCUCAUUUUUUUUUCAGUUGGGGGGGGGGGUUAGAGAGGGAAGGAGGUUGUCACUUCCCACCACCUCUCCCAAAUUCAUCUCGUGGUUGAUCACCAUGACAUCUUACUUUCCUCCAUCUAUCAACCCCAUCUCCCUAUGGUAUAAAUCAACUCUACCACCCCAACUUAAAUCCAAUUGUAUAAGUGGAGACACAGGACAACAAGAACUGAGAGGAAGGAGAGAGGGUAAUAGAAAAGGCAGGGAUGAGAAAAGAAAGAAGAAGGUCCCAGAAGGUGGGUUUGAAUCAUGAAAUAAACAUGAUUUCGUAUGUUGUUAUCCAAUGGGUGGAAAGCUUUGGUAAUUAUUCUCUGAUUCUCUAAAUUUCUUUUAUGGUCAUUAUUGGAUGCUAUUAUGGGAAAUUAGUUUUAUAUGCAGUUGUUGUAUGUGCAAGUUUUUAUAUGAUAUAUGAUACAAAAGCUAGUUUUAUACACAAAUACCUAAACCCUAUUUUGGUAUAAUACCUGAAAGGGAUAAUUGUAUAACAUAAUCAAUUGGGUGGAGUCAAUUGCAUGUCAUAUAUUAGCCACGUUUUUUUCAAGACUAGUAUUAUGCAGAUGCUUGCUUUUAUCUAUUAUAUACACAAAAGCUGAAUGGGCUGCUUCGGUAUAAAAGUUGAAAUGACUAUGCCAAUUAUAGUUCCUUUUGAAUCAAAGUGAUAAUUUGUUCAUAACAUACACUUGAUUUAAAUGGUUUGAGAAUUAUGAUUCACUCAUGGAUUUCUAAUUUCCCAAUAGGCCAAUACUACUUGCACAUAUUAGGUUAAUAUGUUCAAAGAAGGGAAUUGGUUUUAAGAGAAAGUAUAUAUGAUCCUGCUUGGUAUAUCCGUGAUGGGGGACCUUACGCAUUCUGGGGGUGAUAAGGAUUAGUUGUACUUGGUACAUUCGAUAGGCGAUCAUAUUUUGAUUGGAUAUCACUUGAUUAUAUAAUGUGAAUCUAUUGAAAUGUGAUUAGUCAUGGAUCUAUGUUUAUUAGUCGUGAUUUGACUUGAGUAUGGAUCAUAUCUGUGAAAUGUGAUUUGAAGUACUUGAUGAAUUGUUCGAUGGAAAGUAAUUUGAUGUGCAUAUUUGAAAUGAGAUUUGAUUUGCAUGAUUGGCCUGAUGUGAUGAAAUGUGAGGGUUAGGAGUGGACCAUGAACCCAUUGUCAUGGGGUUUGUUGCUUCGAGACUUGUUUCACAUAUCCUAUCAUUACUUCAUUUCUUGUUUCAUUGAGCUUUUGUAUUUUGAGUACUUGUUUCAUGUUUUCUUCUUUGAGCGUUGCUAUAUUUCUUGGAUUUACGCUCGGUUUAGUUGAGUGGUCCUAAAUCGUACCCACUUGGAUCCCGUUAAGAGAUGGUUUGGAAUCCCUCCUACUACGCGAUUCCGUUGAGAGAUGGUCCGGGAUCGUGUUCACCUUGGGGUUAUUGAAUUUGGAUUGAGAUAGCUUCGAAGAUGUAGACUAAGGCCGAACUGUGUCGCCGUAACACUACUUUUCAUUGUGUUGUAUGAGAUUAUGAUUGUGAGCUAUUGUGGUUUGUUUCAAACGAACCGUUGGAUGUCGAGGUGACUCCUUCGGAGUUACAAAGGCUUGGUAUUGAUUCCUUAUGAAUGAUUUAUAUUAAAGAGAUGUAAACUAUGAUUAAUGGUUGGCUUUAUCAUUAUUAUCACAUCCUUGUAUUAUUGUAACUUACCCGAGCUUUGCAGCUUAUCUGAAUUCUUGAUGCCGAUGCACCAUUCCCGUGGUGUAGGCACUGAUUGUACAGAUGUCAGGUCUGAAGAGAUUACAAGAGGUCGCUUAGUAUUUUGGUUGGAUUCUGUUGAGUGGUCUGGAAUCCCUACUCUUGCUCAUUUCCGUAAAGGUAGUCCGACCUUAGAGUCGAGUGAAUAUGAAUUGUUCACAGUAGACAUUGUGUAUAAAUUAGACUUAUCAUGUUAAUACUUGGAAUCCAGGUGGGGAAUUAUGCAGGGUCCUUUAUUAAAAUUUGUGAAUUGAUAUGUGACCUUAUUGAUUGAAUAACAUAGUAAUUGUAGAUAUCAUUCAUCUGUGAUUUAGGAUUGAUUAAGUAGAACGAUUGCGGAAUGAUGUGGGAUAUGAUUGUUAUUAUUAUGAUUAGUCUCGUUACUCGAAAUGGCUUGAGAAUAAUAUUGUGCUUUGUUGGUUCUUGGAUAUGUUACAUGUGGUGGAUUAAGAUUUCAUGUUGAAAACAUAGUGACUUAUAUGAUGGGUGGAAUGGAAACCUUGAUUGUCAUAUUGGAUUGUUAUGUAGCCUUGAAUCUAGUACUUCCAUACUUGUCAAGUUCUAAUGAUUGAUUGAGGAAUGUUAUAUCUUUUGGCUUGAAUGUACAUUGGUAAAUGUAGAUGGGUAGUGCUAGAUGAACUACGAAUGGCUUGAUCCCUGUUUAGGGUACGUAGGCAGUCUAACGAGGAGAUUAGAUGCAGCCAUAAAGCUUACGAAAAACUAUUACGCAGUUGGAUCUUGAGUUAUGUCUUGUACAUAUAUUGGAGGCGGGAUCUAUUAGAUGUACGAAUGCUGGAUGAUGUCACGCGUCGAUCCUGGACGUAUGUUGGGUUCGGGGCGUGACAUCACUUCCACCAUCUUUGCUAGAAAAAUUAGAAAAUUUAACUUUAAGUACAACUAACAUAUUAGAAGACCUAAGAUAAAUCCUUUUGAUAACAUAAAAUGGAACUCUUUAAGAGAAAAGGAAAAGAAGUAGUUAGAGCUGAAGAUAUUUAUCCAAAUGAAGAAGAAGCACAACAAUUUAUUAGAAGAUGAUUUGAGAGAACACAGAAAAAUGAAUAUAAUUUGUAUCAAUUAGGUUUAUUUGAAAAUAAAAGCAGAAUUGUAAGUAGCAUCAGUCAACAUGAAGUUAGUUGUAUUAAUAAAGAAGUUACACUUAAUUUAAUUAGUAAAGAAGCAGUUACUCAUUUGAGAAAAUCACAAUUUAGUCAUAUUCAUAUAGGAACAAUAUUAAUUGGAAUAACAGGAUUAACCAGAGCACAAGUAGGCACAAAAGCUUUAGUAUACAUAUACGAUGAUAGAUGAGAUAACUACCAACAAGCAGCAAUAGCAACAGCUGAAGUAGACUUAAGUUCAAACUUAGCAGUCAUAGGAUGUAUUCCAAAUUAUGUUAUGACAAUUAAUGAAUUUAGUAAAUAUAUCAAAGUAAGCAUAAGAACAAAAAAAUUAUAAUAUGAAAGGAGAGUAUAAAAAUUUGUGUAUUAGCUUAAUGUAUAUUGGUAAAGUGUCUAAUACAUAUAAUCAUAAGUUUAAUUUAGAAUUUCAAAAUUUAGUUCAAACAUUUGGCAGUAAACAUGUAAAUAUGAUAGAAGCAAAACCCAUAGAUAAUAACUUUUUAGAAGGAACUCAAUGGAUAUUACCUAAUUUACAAGUAGUAAGAAAUAAACAACCAUAUAAAGUACAAGUUUAUGAAACUAGUAUAGGCCAAGCAACAAUUAGGUUUAGUAAUUACAAGCAACUAGAAAAAAUAGAAGAGGAUGAGAGUGAGAUAAAAAUAUGAGAGUAUUCAUAUGACUUUUGAUAAUUUAAAUAUUAAUUUAGUAGAGCAAAAUUUCGAUCAUAUUGUAAAUAAACUUAUAGAAGAUAUUGAUCAUUUAGAUGAAGAAGAGUACUUAGAAAAAUAUAAGACAUACGAUUUAGGACUACAUAGAAUUUCAAAUGAAGAGAUGAAAAUUUUAAUUUUAGAAAUAGGAGUAGAACAUAUUUUAGGAUAAAAAAGAAUAUAAUAAUUUAUUAGAAUUGAAAGAAGAAUGUAAUCCAGCAGAAAAAAGUAGUAUACUAGGUUUAGAAAAUUCAGGACAUUCAAGUAUAACUAAUCAACAAUUUUUGAGACCAACAAAUGAACUGUCACAGCCCGUCCCAGAAUUUCAAUUACCGAGGACGUGAAAUUACUAAAACGCCCUUAAACGGGAUUAAGGUGCGUAAAUUUGGUAUUUGUUUUACACUAAGAUCUUAAACUAGGGUUUAGAUUUACAUUUGUUUGGUCUAAUAAUUUUGUAUUGGACUUAGGUGGGAUCCCCACCUCCUGAAAUCCUUCCCCAAAACCCGUAGGUUGUCUCUCCCUCUUUCUUCCUCGUCUCUCCCUCAGUCUCUCUCACACUCCCUCAGAAACACUCUCUCUCUCUUACUCUCGAACUCUCUCAAGCUCUCGGACAAACACCAAGAACAAUCACAAUCCUACACCAACGUCCGAUCUAAGAUCACCACGACACUCCUUAGGACCUCACGAGCACGGGAAUACCAGUUUUAGGUAAGUUCUAUUUCGAGAACCCUAGUUUUAAAACACCCCGUGUAAUGGCACUGUUCACGAACUUAAUUUUGGUUGUGUUUAGGUUAAACAAAGAUCACCACGAGUCUUAGGAAGUUCCAAGGAGGCUCGGAGUGCCUCGUUUGAUCAAAAUGGACGUCGGGAUCGUCGGGUUCGAGUUUGGCCGAAAUUGAAGAAUUUUGAAAGGUUUGAUCUUGUUGUUUUUAGGCCUUAAAACCCUUCCAACGUGAUAGUACAUGUUAAAUGCUUCAUUUUGGUAUAAAAUGCGAAGAAAUUGGUUGAAAAACGAAGGAGAAUAGUGGAUUUGAAAAUUUUCCAGAAACCGGCGAACAGUCGCCGGCGACCGGUGACUCGCCGGAGAAGACAGGGAAUCUUCCGUCAAGUUUGACGGAAUAUUCCGACGCCGUUAGUUAACUUUAACGGAAACCGUUAGUUUUUAACGGAAUAUACUAGGAUUUGACGGAAUAUUCUCUAACGCCGUUCACUGUAGCCGUCAGUGUGCAUGUCACGUGGCCGCGCGUGGGCCGCGCGUAGGUCCGUGCCACGUCAGGCGCGUGGGGGCGCGUGAGGACUCCAAAAAUUAUUUUAAAAUUAUGGGGAUGAUCCUGAGGUUGUGUAGGUCACUGUGGUAUAUUCAUAUACCCAAUUUGAGCAUCGUAUGAAGAAUUAAUUACCUAGUUUGGUUUAGGUGCGUUAAUUGUGCGUUAAAUGAUUGUUUUAAGUUAUUUCACUUCUAGGUGGAACAUUUAACGAGGACGAGCACAUCCAGGGGCGUCAAGGGGGUUACGACCCGGCGACAUACCAGUGAGUGGGCAUUGCUUUCUAUAUAUAUACCUAUAUACUCGAUUUCCCCAGAAAUCAAAUUUAAAUGAAAAGUAUAUUGAAAUGAAAUGAAAUAUGAUGUGAUUGCCAUGCAUAGAAUAUUAUGGAUAUUAUGAACUGUCGUAUGAUGCAUAUAUGUAUGAUGGUGCUGUGGAAGCACAGGUAAGUAUUUAAUUAAUAUUAUGAUGAUGAUGAUGAUAUAUUGAGCUCAUAUCCUGCACCAUGGUUUAGUGCUUAUAGUAUUCACCGCAUCGCACGCUCGCCUUGGAUCCAAGUAGAUGCUGGUCGUACAGUCCACGCGGAGUGGGUACGACGGGCCAGUCGUAGAGUGUUAGUGAGAUUAUGACUGGUGGGUGACCUUAGGUUAUUGUAUACAGAUGAUUGAUGAGAGAAGCACUAGAGCGAAUAUUACCAUGAGUCGUUCAAACUACAUUAGGUGGUUCCGACUUAUGUGCAGAAGGCCGGACAGGUCACGCGGAGUGACUCCGGCAGAGAGUGAGAUUGAUAGAUGUUGAGCUCUAGGUUCAAUCGUUCAGGGCUAUUAGAGGGCCUCCGAUUGAUUUCUAUCUUUUACCUGAUUAUAUUAUGUUAAUGCAUUCAUACUAAACUGUUGAGAUUGGCAUGGUACAUUCUUUAUUGAAUCUGUUAUAAGAUUGAUGAUUGAGACAGUUGAGAUAUAUAUGCUAUAUACUAUUUUUCUGGGAAAGUAUACAGGUUUUCCAAAAAGGGGUUAUAAUUGUGGAUUUGUGAAAUGAUUUGGAAAAGCUUUAUUUUCGCCCACUCACGUUUUCUGUUUUUCGCCCCUCCAGGUUCUAGUUAAUAGUUGAGGCGUUGGUGGCCUACGAGACUGCUUCGGCGUUCUGACAGACUAAAUAAAUGUAGGAUUCACCCGAGGGUGUUGUAAAAUAGUUAUGUUCCUACUUGACUGCACCUAGAUGCUUAUGCUCUGUUUAUGUGUGUUUAGUACACUCUUAUGCACAUAGAAUGCUAGGUUGUAAAUAACUGCAAUUAGUGGUUUUCGUUAAUUCGUAUUUUAUUAUUAAAUCGUUUCCGCUUGCGUUAUGGUUACGUCACACUCACGUGACGGCCAGCACGUCCUAGUCUUCGGGUUAGGGUGUGUCAGUUUGGUAUCAGAGCAUAGGUUGCAGUCCUGUAUAACUAAUGAGUUCUUCUAUUGAUUUUUGGAUGUUUUCUGUCAGAAUUAUGCCGCCUCGUAGAGAUCCUCGCCGUGCUGCUGAGCCUAAUUUCCCCGAUAUAACUCAGUUAGGGGCAGCAAUGGCUCAAGCUUUUCAGGCUAAUAUCCGUCCUCCUCAGAGAACGCCCGUAGAGACGAUGUAUAAUCUGAAACUGGAAACCUUUGAGGGAAAUGAAGGUUAUGAAGGGGCAGAAAAGUGGUUGGAUCGAAUUGAGCAGACCUUUCAAGUGAUGCAAAGUCAGGGAAACCUGCCAGCUAAUAGAUGGGUGGAGACCACCACCUGGUUUUUGGGCCGUGAGCCAGCUGCGUGGUGGAUAAAUCAGUCGAGGCACAUGACUCCUGAAAGGGCAGCCGAAUGGGAGGUAUUUAAGGAAAAUUUUAUGAAGAGAUUUGUUCCUCCGGAAUAUAUAGAUCGCAAGAAACAGGAAUUCACCAGUCUGAAGCAGAGAAAUAUGUCUGCACAUGAGUACUACAGGAAGUUUACUGAUUUAUCCCGUUAUGAUUCUGAUUUAGCGGGUAAUCAAGCAGAAAUGCUUCGUCGUUUCAAGCUAGGAUCUAAGAAGAAGUACAGAACGUUUGCCAAUGCACUUCCCUGUGCCGAUUAUCAUGAGUAUUUUGAGAUUCUGGUCAGGAUGGAAGACUCUGAUAAUCUUCCGGACAGUGAGGAUGAAGAGGAUAAGGGUAAUGGUCAGAAGAAAAAUGAGAAAGGUAAAGGUGUUUCCAUUCCAGGACCUCGUCAGACGCAGAAUUUCAAGAAAAGUGGAAUGAGUUCGAGUUCUUCCAGUGGUGGAUUUAGUGCCACAGGUCCGAGGAGAGGAGGUGGUAGGUUUGGUAAUGGACCUAGAUUUUCUGGUCAGAGAGGCUUUGGUAAUACUGGUAGUUCGGGUCCUCCGUUAUGUCGCCGUUGUAAUUUCCGACAUCAUGGGGAAUGUAGGAGAAGCAGUGGUGCAUGCUUUACAUGUGGUCAGACAGGACAUAGAGCUAUGUAUUGUCCCCAGAAUCAGCAGAGGCCCCAGCAGCCUGUUAUGCCAACAUCAGCACCGACUCAACAGAACUUUAAUUCAGGCAGUUAUGGCCAGGGUGGUCGUGGUGGUGCUUAUCACUAUCAGGGUGAUGCUGCUCCUUAUGCUCCGGGACAGUAUCACUAUUCCCAGGAUCCUUAUUUUCAGAGUGGAUAUUCUCAGGAUCAGGGAGGUUAUACUUCAUAUCCGUCUAUGCCAGCUAGCGGAUCUCAGUGGUAUCAGGGGGGUCAGCCCCAACAGAGCGGAGUUGCUGCUAGUAGUACAGGGUCGUUUAGGCCGCCUGCCCAGGCAGGUCAAGGACGUACUCAUCAGGGACGAGGUAACCAGAGUGGCAGAGGUCGUGGAGGACGACAGCCAGCUCAGGGACGCGUUAACCACAUAUCGCUGCAAGAUGCUCAGAACCAUCCAGACUUGAUUAUGGGUACGUUGAAUGUUCUUGGUCAUUUUGCUAGAGUCUUGAUUGAUUGUGGUGCUACACACUCUGUGAUUUCUCAUACAUUUGCUCAAAUAACGCAACCUCAUCCUUCACCUCUAGGGUUUGAUUUAGAGUUUGCUAUGCCUAGAGGGGAUAAAUGUUAUGUUGAUAGUUUUUACUCUGGGUGUCCAGUGAUGGUAGAUAAUGUCAUUAUGCCUGCUAAUCUUAUCCCGUUAGACAUCGUGGAUUUUGAGGUGAUUUUAGGGGCGGAUUGGUUGCAUUAUAAUCGCGCCCAUAUAGAUUGUUACGGGAAAUCAGUUACUUUUCUUCGUCCUGGACUACCCGAGGUUACAUUUGUGGGUGAAAGAAGUGGGGUGAGGCAUGGUGUUAUUUCCGCCAUAAGGACAAAGAAAUUGUUAUCCAAGGGUUGUCAGGGAUACUUGGCACAUGUGGUUUUGAAUGAUGUUGAUUCCGGUAGUGUGGAGGAAGUCGGAGUAGUCAGACACUAUCCUGAUGUAUUUCCAGAUGAUUUACCUGGGUUGCCUCCAGAUAGAGAUGUGGAAUUUUCGAUUGAAUUGCUUCCAGGUACGAAUCCUAUCUCUUUGACUCCUUAUAGAAUGGCACCAGCGGAAUUAAGAGAGUUGAAAAUUCAAUUGCAAGAGUUAAUUGAUAAAGGUUUCAUUCAGCCUAGUUCUUCACCUUGGGGAGCUCCAGUGUUGUUUGUAAGAAAGAAAGAUGGAACUUUGAGAUUGUGCAUUGAUUACAGGCAAUUGAAUCGGGUGACGAUUAAAAACCGUUAUCCCUUGCCUCGUAUAGAUGAUUUGUUUGAUCAGCUCAAAGGUGCCUGUGUGUUUUCUAAGAUCGAUUUGAGGUCUGGGUAUUAUCAAUUAAAGAUUAAAGAUGAGGAUGUUCAUAAAACAGCUUUCAGGACUCGUUAUGGGCAUUAUGAGUUUUUUGGUGAUGCCAUUUGGAUUAACGAACGCUCCUGCAGCUUUCAUGAGAUUGAUGAAUGAAGUAUUCCAGGAAUAUCUUGACAAGUUUGUUAUUGUUUUUAUUGAUGACAUCCUGGUAUAUUCUAAGUCGAAAUCAGACCAUAUUCGACAUCUUAACUUGGUGUUAAGGAAAUUGAGGGAACACCGGUUAUAUGCCAAAUUUAGUAAAUGUCAAUUUUGGCUGGAUCAAGUGGCAUUUUUGGGACAUGUGGUAUCAGCUCAGGGAAUUCAAGUGGAUCCUCAAAAGAUAGCAGCAGUGGAAAAUUGGGAACAACCUCGAACGGUCACUGAGGUGCGGAGUUUCCUUGGUUUGGCAGGUUAUUAUAGACGGUUUGUUCAAGACUUUUCUAUGAUUGCCUUGCCAUUAACGAAGUUAACCAGGAAGGAUGUUAAGUUUGAGUGGGAUGAAAGUUGUGAGCAAAGUUUCCAGCAGUUGAAGUAUUGCCUUACUCAUGCACCUGUGUUAGUACUUCCUGAUGGUAAUGGUAACUUCGAGAUCUAUAGUGAUGCUUCUUUGAAUGGUUUGGGUUGUGUUUUGAUGCAGCAUAGUAGAGUGAUUGCCUAUGCUUCUAGGCAGUUGAAGACUCAUGAAAGAAACUAUCCGACUCACGAUCUUGAGUUGGCAGCUAUUGUGUUUGCUUUGAAGAUUUGGAGACACUAUCUCUAUGGCGAGAAAUGUAAGAUCUUUACCGAUCAUAAAAGCCUUCAGUACCUUUUCACUCAGCAUGAUCUUAAUCUUCGUCAGAGAAGAUGGUUGGAAUUGUUAAGUGAUUAUGAUUGCACGAUUGAGUACCAUCCGGGUCGUGCAAAUGUGGUAGCUGAUGCUCUGAGUAGAAAACCUCAAGGGCGACUUAAUGCUUUGUAUGCCAGUCGUGUUCCUCUUCUGGCAGAGUUGAGAUCUACUGGAGUAGAGUUAGAAUUGGAAGAGCAAAGUGAAGCUUUUCUUGCCAGUUUUCAAGUCAAGCCAGUUUUAAUUGAUCGGGUGCUUGCAGCUCAAUCGUGGGAUGAAGAAAUUCAAGAAUUGAUCAAGUUAAGAAAUGAAGGGAAGAAGAAAGAUCUCAAGAUCCGAGGAUCAGAUGGUAUGCUUAUGCAAGAGAACAGGAUGUAUGUGCCUAAUAAUGAGGAACUGAAGAAGGAAAUCUUGGAUGAAGCACAUUGUUCGGCUUAUGCUAUGCACCCAGGAGGAACUAAAAUGUAUCAUACCAUUCGACCAUUCUACUAUUGGCCGGGUAUGAAGAGGGAGAUUGCAGAGUAUGUGAGUAGGUGUAUUGUCUGCCAGCAGGUUAAGGCUGAAAGAAAGAAGCCGUUUGGGAGAUUGCAACCACUUCCCGUUCCCCAGUGGAAAUGGGAGAAUAUAACGAUGGAUUUUGUGUAUAAGCUGCCACGUACACAAAAUGGUUUUGAUGGCAUUUGGGUGGUUGUAGAUCGACUUACCAAAUCAGCACAUUUUAUUCCAGUAAGGGAGAAGUAUUCUUUAAAUAAGUUGGCUCAGUUAUUCAUAUCGAAGGUUGUAAAGUAUCAUGGUGUCCCAGUGAAUAUUAUUUCUGAUCGAGAUCCAAGAUUUACUUCUAAGUUUUGGAUAGCUUUUCAAGAAGCUUUGGGUACUAGAUUGCUUUACAGUACAGCUUAUCAUCCACAGACAGAUGGUCAGUCAGAGAGAACUAUUCAGACACUCGAGGAUAUGUUGAGAUCCUCUGUGAUGCAAUUUGGUGAUUCUUGGCAUGAUCGCUUGGAUUUGAUGGAGUUUGCCUACAAUAAUAGUUUUCAUUCGAGUAUUGGAAUGUCUCCAUUUGAAGCACUUUAUGGUAAAGCUUGCCGUACGCCAUUAUGUUGGUCAGAGGUUGGUGAAAGAAUACUUGAGGGCCCAGAGAUUGUGGAUGAGACUACUCAGAAUAUUCAGGUAAUUAAAUCUAACCUGAAAGUGGCCCAGGAUAGACAAAAGAGCCUAGCGGAUCGACAUACCACGGACAGAAUGUAUAAAGUGGGUGACUAUGUUUUCUGAAAUUAUCGCCUUGGAGAGGUGUGGUUCGCUUUGGAAAGAAAGGAAAGCUAAGUCCCAGGUACAUUGGACCUUAUGAGAUCACUGAGAGGAUUGGUGAAGUUGCUUACAGGUUGGAGCUACCUCCAGAGUUGUCUAAGGUACAUAAUGUGUUCCAUGUCUCGAUGCUUCGGCAUUAUGUGUCAGAUCCUUCACAUGUGAUUCCUCCUCAACCAUUGGAAAUUAAUCCGGAUUUGACGUACGAUGAGGAACCAGUGACUAUACUGGAUUGGAAAGAUAAGACCUUGAGGAAUAAGACCGUGAGCUUGGUGAAAGUAUUGUGGAGAAACCAUUCAGCUGAAGAAGCUACUUGGGAGACAGAAGAUCGGAUGAGAGAUAUGUAUCCGAGGUUAUUCUAUGACUUUUGAUGUUCUGGUUAGUGAUUGGAAUUUCGGGGACGAAAUUCUAUAAGGAGGGGAGAUUGUCACAGCCCGUCCCAGAAUUUCAAUUACCGAGGACGUGAAAUUACUAAAACGCCCUUAAACGGGAUUAAGGUGCGUAAAUUUGGUAUUUGUUUUACACUAAGAUCUUAAACUAGGGUUUAGAUUUACAUUUGUUUGGUCUAAUAAUUUUGUAUUGGACUUAGGUGGGAUCCCCACCUCCUGAAAUCCUUCCCCAAAACCCGUAGGUUGUCUCUCCCUCUUUCUUCCUCGUCUCUCCCUCAGUCUCUCUCACACUCCCUCAGAAACACUCUCUCUCUCUUACUCUCGAACUCUCUCAAGCUCUCGGACAAACACCAAGAACAAUCACAAUCCUACACCAACGUCCGAUCUAAGAUCACCACGACACUCCUUAGGACCUCACGAGCACGGGAAUACCAGUUUUAGGUAAGUUCUAUUUCGAGAACCCUAGUUUUAAAACACCCCGUGUAAUGGCACUGUUCACGAACUUAAUUUUGGUUGUGUUUUAGGUUAAACAAAGAUCACCACGAGUCUUAGGAAGUUCCAAGGAGGCUCGGAGUGCCUCGUUUGAUCAAAAUGGACGUCGGGAUCGUCGGGUUCGAGUUUGGCCGAAAUUGAAGAAUUUUGAAAGGUUUGAUCUUGUUGUUUUUAGGCCUUAAAACCCUUCCAACGUGAUAGUACAUGUUAAAUGCUUCAUUUUGGUAUAAAAUGCGAAGAAAUUGGUUGAAAAACGAAGGAGAAUAGUGGAUUUGAAAAUUUUCCAGAAACCGGCGAACAGUCGCCGGCGACCGGUGACUCGCCGGAGAAGACAGGGAAUCUUCCGUCAAGUUUGACGGAUAUUCCGACGCCGUUAGUUAACUUUAACGGAAACCGUUAGUUUUUAACGGAAUAUACUAGGAUUUGACGGAAUAUUCUCUAACGCCGUUCACUGUAGCCGUCAGUGUGCAUGUCACGUGGCCGCGCGUGGGCCGCGCGUAGGUCCGUGCCACGUCAGGCGCGUGGGGGCGCGUGAGGACUCCAAAAAUUAUUUUAAAAUUAUGGGGAUGAUCCUGAGGUUGUGUAGGUCACUGUGGUAUAUUCAUAUACCCAAUUUGAGCAUCGUAUGAAGAAUUAAUUACCUAGUUUGGUUUAGGUGCGUUAAUUGUGCGUUAAAUGAUUGUUUUAAGUUAUUUCACUUCUAGGUGGAACAUUUAACGAGGACGAGCACAUCCAGGGGCGUCAAGGGGGUUACGACCCGGCGACAUACCAGUGAGUGGGCAUUGCUUUCUAUAUAUAUACCUAUAUACUCGAUUUCCCCAGAAAUCAAAUUUAAAUGAAAAGUAUAUUGAAAUGAAAUGAAAUAUGAUGUGAUUGCCAUGCAUAGAAUAUUAUGGAUAUUAUGAACUGUCGUAUGAUGCAUAUAUGUAUGAUGGUGCUGUGGAAGCACAGGUAAGUAUUUAAUUAAUAUUAUGAUGAUGAUGAUGAUAUAUUGAGCUCAUAUCCUGCACCAUGGUUUAGUGCUUAUAGUAUUCACCGCAUCGCACGCUCGCCUUGGAUCCAAGUAGAUGCUGGUCGUACAGUCCACGCGGAGUGGGUACGACGGGCCAGUCGUAGAGUGUUAGUGAGAUUAUGACUGGUGGGUGACCUUAGGUUAUUGUAUACAGAUGAUUGAUGAGAGAAGCACUAGAGCGAAUAUUACCAUGAGUCGUUCAAACUACAUUAGGUGGUUCCGACUUAUGUGCAGAAGGCCGGACAGGUCACGCGGAGUGACUCCGGCAGAGAGUGAGAUUGAUAGAUGUUGAGCUCUAGGUUCAAUCGUUCAGGGCUAUUAGAGGGCCUCCGAUUGAUUUCUAUCUUUUACCUGAUUAUAUUAUGUUAAUGCAUUCAUACUAAACUGUUGAGAUUGGCAUGGUACAUUCUUUAUUGAAUCUGUUAUAAGAUUGAUGAUUGAGACAGUUGAGAUAUAUAUGCUAUAUACUAUUUUUCUGGGAAAGUAUACAGGUUUUCCAAAAAAGGGGUUAUAAUUGUGGAUUUGUGAAAUGAUUUGGAAAAGCUUUAUUUUCGCCCACUCACGUUUUCUGUUUUUCGCCCCUCCAGGUUCUAGUUAAUAGUUGAGGCGUUGGUGGCCUACGAGACUGCUUCGGCGUUCUGACAGACUAAAUAAAUGUAGGAUUCACCCGAGGGUGUUGUAAAAUAGUUAUGUUCCUACUUGACUGCACCUAGAUGCUUAUGCUCUGUUUAUGUGUGUUUAGUACACUCUUAUGCACAUAGAAUGCUAGGUUGUAAAUAACUGCAAUUAGUGGUUUUCGUUAAUUCGUAUUUUAUUAUUAAAUCGUUUCCGCUUGCGUUAUGGUUACGUCACACUCACGUGACGGCCAGCACGUCCUAGUCUUCGGGUUAGGGUGUGUCAUGAACAAUAUAAUGAAAAAGCAAAAGUAGAUUACAUAGAAGAAAUAUGAUAAAACCACCUAAAAAAAAAUAGGAUUCCAUAUUUGAGAGGGUUAGAACAAAUUAAUAUAGCAGGUAAUAUAUUAAACUUAGAUAAUGUAGAUCCACAAGAUUGGGAGAGAACAAUUGAUAGAUGGGAAAAAAGUUGCGUACAUGUAGCAUUAAUGUUAGAUUUUAGUAACUCACAAAUAUGUUAAAUUACUUUGAGCAUACUUUGGAUGAAUUAGUUUUUUAUUAUUUCCAGUCAUGGAAAAGUCCAAAAUCCAGAACAACAUUAGGCAGCUAAAACGCAUUUAAAUAUUGAUGGUUUUGUUACUUUAAUUAAGCAAGAAUUUUUAGAUCAUAAUAGGUUAGAUGGCAGAAGUGAACAAGAACAAAUAAGGGCAAUUAAAAAUUUAGAAUAAUUAUAAAUUUGUGAUUUACAAUAUUUAGCUGAAUAUACAACAAAUUUCUCUUUAAAUAUUUAGGAAGAACAUGUAAAAUUAGUGAUAUUAAUUUAUUAGAUACUUAUAUGGCAAAAAUAAAAGGACCAAUAGGUGAAAAGAUUUGGAAUGAAUGACAAAAGCAUCCAAAGAAAAAUGAUAUUGCAAUAGACCUAGAAUUUAACAUGUAUAAGACAUACUUAGACAAGAGUAUAGCCAAAUAAAAGCUAAGAGACAUAUUAGAAAGCAAUUUUACAUGGGCUGUAAAAAUGUAGAUUUACCACAACAGUAUGGUUGUCAUAAGAAAAAUAAGCAUAAGAAAAUUUACAAAAAGAAAUAUAGGUCAUAUAAACCUUACAAAAAGCAUAAAAAUUUCAACAUAAGACCUUCUUGAACAUAUAAGAAGAGAAAAUAUAUUCCAAAACAAUUUAGGAAAAGAAGUGACAGACCUUGGAUUAGAAAAUAUAAGGCACCAAAAGAUAAGAGUAGUUGUAAAUGUUAUUCAUGUGGAGAAGCUGAACAUAUUAGACCUAAAUGUUCAAAAUUAAGAAAACAACCAAGAGAUAAAAUACAUUCGAUGGAGUUGUUUAAGUUAGAAGAGGAUGAGGAUAACAGUCAAUAUAUAGUUUAGAUGAUUUAAGUGAUAAUGAGAGUAUUUAUAGUAUAGAAAGUGUAAAUAUGAUACAUUCAAACUCAGAAGAUUCAAGUGGCACAAAUAGUGAUUUAGAAGAGUAUAUGUGUGUAUUCAUAGAAGAACAACAUGAAGAAAAAUAUAAUUAUAUUAAUUUAAGUUGACUAGAAAAAUGUCAUAAGUGUAGUAAAUUAGUUGCAAAUAAAUACUAUAAUACAUAUUCAAUAUUGUGUGAAAAAAGUGUUAUAAUAAUAAGUUAUUAGAAAUUAAUUCAACAGAAUCACAAGAAAAUACAGAAAUAUUAGGAAAUAUUGUUUAUAGUAUAGAAAAGCCAAAAAAUAGUUCUUUAAUUACCAUAAAUUGUGAAAUAAAAUUAGCAAAAGAACAUAAGAUACAAACAACAGCUAUGAUCGAUAUAAGGAGUACAAAGAGUGUCAUAAGAGAAGAGUUAGUACCAGAAAAAUAUAGACAAAAAUUAGCAAAACAAGUGAGAAUAACACAGUUUGAUGAGAGACCAGUUUAUAUAACACAUUGUAUAAAUAAUGAGUCUAUUAAAGUAGAAAAACAACAAUUUAAUUUACCAUUAACAUUUGUCUCAUCAGUAGGAUCAUACCCAUUCAUUUUAGGUUUAAACUUUUUGAAAAGUUUACAAGGUUUUUUAUUUAUGAACCCUAGCAUAACAUUUUUCAAAAGAGGUAUAACUAUAACUGACCAAAGUAAUACUGUAGAAGCAUACAAAAGCAUAAGUAUAGAAGAGUUUAUUAGUAGCGAAGAUAGUUAUUAUUUAGAAAACUCAAAAGAAAAUGGUGAGCACAAUAAUAUAGAAGAGUUUGAUGAAGAAAUAUUUGAACAUGAAUAUCCUAUUUUAGAAGAAUGAACCCGUAUAAAAAUAUUACAGUUAGACAGACCAAAGAGUUUAGAAGAAUUAUUACAAUUAGCAGAACAAACUAGAAUCAUAGGAGAAGACCCACAGUUGCAUUUGAGUAAAAAUAAAAUAUUAGCAAAAUUAGAUAUAAUUAAUCCAGAUUUAACCAUUAAGACAGCUGACAUGCCUUGUAGUUUAAUAGAUAAAUAAGAGUUUGAAUAGCAAAUAAAAGAGUUGUUAAAUCUAAAAGUAAUUAAACCCUCUAAGUCUAGACAUAGAUCAUCAUCAUUUAUUGUGAGAAAACAUUCAGAAUUAAAGAGAGGUAAGGCUAGAAUAGUUUAUAAUUACAAAAGAUUAAAUAAUAAUACAUAUGAAGAUAGUUAUAAGUUACCAAAUGAAAAUGAGCUUAUAAAUAAAAUUCAAGAGAGUAAAUAUUUUAGUAAAUUUGAUUGUAAAUCAAGAUUUUGACAAUUACGAUUAGCAAAAGAAUUAAUUGAGUGGACAACUUUUACUUGUUCAGAAGGACAUUUUUAGUGGCUUGUUAUGCCAUUCGGACUUAAAAAUGCUCUAUCGAUCUUUCAAAGAAAGAUGGACCAAAUUUUUAAGAAAUAUGAUAAUUUUUGUAGUGUUUAUAUAGACGAUAUUUUAGUACAUAGUAAAAAUAGAAAUGAACAUAGAAAGCACUUAGAGAUAAUUUUACAAGAAUUUAUUAAUAAUGGAAUUGUGAUUAGUAAAAAUAAAAUAACAUUACAAAAGCAAGAUAUAGAAUUUUUAGGAAUGUAUAUCAAGUCAUGUACAAUACAAUUACAAGAUCAUACAGCUAAAAAGGUCUUAGAAUUUCCAGAUAAAUUAGAAGACAAAAAACAGUUACAAGCAUUUUUAGGAUUGUUAAAUUAUGCAAGAAAUUUUAUCCCUGAUUUAGGAAGAAAAAUAGCAGUAUUACAUAGGAAAACUAGCAAAACAAGACAAAAGUAUUUUAAUAGUGAAGAUAUUAAAUUAGUUCAAAAUAUAUAAGAAGAAAUUACUAAAUUUAAGCCAUUAACAUUACCAUUAAAUGAUAGUUACAAAAUAAUUGAAACAGAUGCUUCAUCAUUAGGAUAGGCAUGUAUACUAUACCAAAAAAAGUAUAAGGAAUCACCAAAGUCUGAUGAACAAGUUUGUAGAUAUUCAUCAGGAAAAUUUAAUGAUGUACAAUCAAGAUUACCAUCAACAGAUUUAGAUAUUUUAGGGAUAAUCAAUUCACUUGAGGCAUUCUCUUUAUUUUUACAUAAUGAAGUAUUUACGAUUAAAACAGAUUGUCAAAAUAUAGUUUCUCAUUAUAACAAAAUACAUGCUAAUAAAUAGACAGCCUGAAGAUGAGUUAAUUUUAUUUAUUCAAUUACAGGAAAUAGUUUUAAAUCAAUUUUUGAACAUAUAAAAGGUAAUGACAAUACAUUAACUGAUAUCUUAUCAAGAUUAAUUUGUUGAACAAGAAUGAAAUAUCAUGGACCAUUAUCCUCAAAUAGCACAAGACCACAAGAUAGAAGAUCACUUUUCAAUAGCAUAAUGAUGCACCAUGGACCUCCACCAUUCAAUGGAUUCCAAAAUAGUAUAAACAGACCAGCAUAACCACCAGUACCCACUUUCAACUUAAUGGCAAUAUUGUUGAAGGAAUCAGAAAUCCAACUCUGAGGUGUAGGACAAGGGUACCAAAACUCUUUGAUAGGCAACAGGUUCUCUUAGAUAAUUUUUGGAACAUUCAAAUCAAACAACCAAGAGGUUAGGUCAUGAGAAAUUAAUUAGAGCAUUAGAACAAGAGUUUGAUAAUUUUAAUUUCAGUAUCCAUCAAAGCAAGCAUCAUAUUCAUUCUCUUGAACACAACAUUCAAAUCAUUUCUAGAGACCAUGAGUCAUUACUUAGUAAGUUUACUAAAAUGAACCAAGACCUUCAAUCCCUUAGAAUGCUGCAAAAGCAAGUGACACUCUGAAAAGAGAAUUGAAAAUAGGUUUGGAAACUGAUCAACAUAAGAAUAAAGAAAAAGAGGUUAUUGAACCCAUAGAACAAGAGACUAAUGAGCUCAUAUAAGAGAUUAAGAUUGAACUCUUAGAAGAAAACAUUGAAAUGGCGCAGCAUCAGCAUCUAAGUAAAGAAGAAAAACAAGAAAGAUAUGAAAGUUUUUUUAGGAAUAUAGCUUUAGAGUUAAUAAUAGAUGAUAUCCUAUUAGAAGAAAUUUCAAAAGCAAAAUUAAGAAUAAUGCCACCAAAUAUGCAAAAUGAGAUCGUGGGCAGAGCAUCACAGUCUAUGAAAGAGUUACAAUUACAACUACAAUGUGCUUUGUAUUAGUCCAUCUUUGAUCCAAAACCAGAGAUGAAUAUUAUUACAAAGAUGUACCCACAAUGUCUUUGUGAUAGUACAAAGAGUUGUAUUUGUAAUCUAGAAGUUAGCAUAGUUGUGGCCAAGAUUAACAUGAGAGAUUUUAGACCAUGGCAUUUUAGUUAUGAGCAUCAAAAAAAGUUUAAUGUAGUAGAAGUUACCUCAGCUUUACUAUUAGAGUUUGGUUACCUUGAUAAAAUAUUCAUCAACCAUAUUUCCCAACUAGAAUCAUUUCCUGAAAAGCUUAUAAAAGUAGCAGAAGAUUAUCUAGAAAAGUGGAAAGAAAUUUGCAUAAGUUUUAUUAGUAGUCUUUCAGAUUGGUAUGUACAUAUGCAUAAAGAGAAAGCUAGGCAUAUAGCCAUUAUUAAUGAAGAGUCCUUUAGACUAUCCCCUAUAUCUCCACACAGGUGGACUCUUUCAUGCAAAAAUAUUUGAAAAUUUCGAGGGAUCCAAAUGUUUGCCUUAGAUGAGUUUGAAGAUUUUAAGUAUGAUAUGAUAUUAGUAGCAGAAGUAGAAGAAAUGCAUAUUUACAGCAAGUCAAAAGCCUGCCACCAGUCAUACUGGAAGCCUCAAAAUUUCAAAGGAGAAACAGAAGAUAUGUAUUACAAGGUGAAAGAAGAUAGAGAAAAAGAGGCAGAGCUAGUAGAAGGCGAUGAGCAGUAUUGGAAUAAUUUGACAGCAAAAAAGCUGCAUAACAUUGACAACAUGAUGGAAACAUGAAGAGUUGAUAGCAAAUUAGCAUAAGUUGAAUAGCAUCAUAAUGUAUUUCCAAACAGAAAUGUCAACAUCAUUGUGGACCGCUUUUAAUGGCAUAAGAGUAAAUAAAGAAAAGAGUCUGACCCAUUAUAGACUUUUCAUACACAAAAUGUCAUUUUAAUUAAGAAUGAAUAGUGCUAGGCCUUUUUCAUUAAAACUCCCAAGUUUUAACUUUCAAGUUUUCAACCUCUAACAAUACGAACAACAUCAUGGUCUAACAUAUUUCUCUUUCACAAUUUCAGAAGAUCCCAAAGGUUCAAGUCCCCGCUCCCCAAAUGAUUUCUUUUGAAUUUUUUAGUACAACGAUAUAUUUUACACUAAAGGGAGAGGGAGUUUGGCUAGCCACAUAAUGGGUAAUCUAUUUUGGUAUCGAAUUUGCAAUAUACGAGAUUCAAACCUAAGACCUCUCACUUACAAGUGAAGAAAAAUAUCACCAGACCUUAGUACUGAUUGACUCUUUUGAAAUUAUAUUAAAACGAAAAACAUUUCAACUUCCACAAUUUUAAAAGAUAUCCCACUAGUUUAGAUCCUCGCUCCCCAAAUGAUUCUUUUGCAACUAUAGAAAAACGAAAAACAUUUGAACUUCUAACAACGCGAACAACACCAUGGUCUAGUAGUGCUUCUAUUUCACAAUUUUAUGAAGAUAUCCCCAAAAGUUCGAAUUCCUGCUCCCAAAACGAUUAAGCAAAAAACAAUAUAUUAUGUGGACUAGCCAUCCAUCAUUACAUCUGGUCCGUAGAAACAGAAAAAAGUCAAACUCUAUAGGCUAUACCAAAUAUAAACACUUCAUCACUGCAAACCGUGGCUGGUACUCCCACAUUUUAGAGCAGCAAUAAGUAACCAGUAAGUAUGGCAUUACUCAUCGUGUGACAGACAACAAAAACUAACCAUUUUUCUGGUGAAUGAGCCCCUCUAGCACCACUGCCCGUAUAAAACUACUAGCCAAGCAAAAAAGCAGAACAUUAUUAUGCCUAGAACCAUGUUGAAAAAGUAUUCUGAUGGGGGACUUGUUAAUGGGGGGGAUGUCUCCCAUGAAAUGAAAGAACAGCCCUUCCAAUUGCAAGUGGUUGUUGUGUUCUGUGUCUGCUUCACACCCUUUUCUGCAUUAUUACCUUGAGCCACCUCUGCUUCUUUGUUAGACUUUGUUAUAGAUGUCAACUUCGGAGGAAAAUCAACAGCAGCUCGAAGCUCUGCAGCUUCUUUUGCCUGCAAAAAUAAACCAAAUUAAGUUGUGCAAAUAGCCUCUACAAAGAAUCAUUAUUCACGUUCUCCGUGCUGCAGUUUUGGGUUCUCUCACUCACCUUGCUUUGCUGCUGUUUUAAUUCUUUCUGUUUGCUUAGUGCUUCGAGGGCACUAGUUGGAUAUGUUCUUCCACGUGUUCUUUCAUUGUUAUAGUAUUCGUCAGGGGCUAAUCGAAUACAUUUAAGCUGACGUAAUUCUGCAUCUACAUCCACAGAGGAAGCAUUCUUUACGUUUAAGGCAUUAUUGUGUCUUGAUUCACGUUGCGGCCUGCUUGUUCUUUGAUGUGUACCAGAAUGCUCGUCAUUAACUAAUUGACCACGAUGUGUAACAGAAUGUUCAUCAGUGACUACUUGAAGAUGAUCAGUCUGAGGUUUAGGUACUACAUUGACAGAGGAAGCAGCCUGUGUCUGGUAAAGCAUGACACCUUCCUGUCUUCUGGAGUGGCUCGAAUCAACUGGUGGCUCACUAAGCAUUUGUAAACUCAUUUCCUGAAAAAUAAAAAAAUGUUCUAAAAA
rnacentral:lncRNA from 1 species